CAACAAGUAGCUUACAACGAUUUUUGCAAUUCCGAAAAACGCUUUAUGAAUUAAAUUUUAUGUCAAACAUCCAUGUCCAAACAUACAAUGUUGAAAAACGUUACUUUUUAAUACUAGUGCUGAAAAGUAUUAGUUUUCCAUUCUAUUAUUUUUGGAUUGAGAAGGACAGAACGUUAGUAGUUUCACGACUUAGUUGCAAAAUAGUAGUUUAUGCAACAAGUUGCAAAACGAGGAUUUUUUCAGCACGAGUCGUACAUUUAUCCAACGAGGUUCACCGAGUUGGAUAAAUACGAAGAGUGCUGAAAAAAUCAAGUUUUGCAACGAGUUCUAUACAACAUUUUUUGCAAUUCCAAAAAACACACACUGAGUAAAAUUUUAUGUCAAAUUUUCAUGUAUUUUGUCAAUAAAUCGUUUGAAUAAAAAAAAUGUUGAAAAGUGUUACUUUUCAAAACAAGUGCUGAAAAGUUCAACUUUUCAGCACCCAUUUAUUUUGAAAAGUGUUGCUAUUCGAUUCUGUUAUUUUUGGUACAGAAAAGUAGGCUAUUUCGUCGUUCAAGAAUGACAGGAAAAGUAAGUAGUUUCACGACGGAAUUGCAAAAAAAUAGUUUUUGUCAAUUUGAUGAGUACAUUAUCAAUGUUCAUUAUUUCCUGUGAUUUGUAAUGAGCUUCAACAAAGAACGAGCCACUUUUCUCAUUUGCUGGAUAUCAGGCUGAAGGUCAAUGGAAUAUGAGAACUUGGCCCUACUUUUGAAAACCUCCCAAGAGUCAAACUUGUUUGCUUCUGUUGUAAACAUCCACUUUUCUUGGAGUAAAGUUCCAAAAUUAAUUUAAAUUGUCCCACACUCCAUCAUCCCCCGUUCCACCCCUCGUCAAAAACACAACUCUCAACUCUUUCUUUCGUUGUUAAAACAAAAUCCCGUCCCCAAAAAGUGGCCAUCCAAAACACUGACACUGACGACGAUUGUCUCCGGAUUCGGCCCCUUCUUUUUUUCGCUGUUUGCAAUUCGCGAAAAUUUACAUCCAUUUUUCCCUAGAAGAAGUACAAGAAGACGAAGAAAAAGUUGGUAAAUUCUGACAAUGCCAUCAUUCGCAGGAGACCGGCGGUGUGGUAGUCCUUAAAGCAUUCCCCCACUAAAUCCCCCGGGGCCCGGUGGCCACCAACCAAGUAUCCUUGCUAAUAUUUACUUUCCCUUUCCUCCAUGCCAAAACGGGGUCCUCUCCUACUUUUUGGCUGAGAGUUCUUUUUUUUUUGUUCUUAUGUUCUAGUAAUAGUAGUUGUUUGUGUUUUUGUAAGUGUGUGUGUACCUUAUAUCUAAACGUUAGAUUCAUUUUUACGUGAAAAAGGUGCCAUGCUGUGAGGGAGGAGAGUGACCACGUGGCAGGAGGGUUGAACGGGUGGGGAUUUUCGCGAGGUUGUCUUCUUUCGAUGGUGUCGUGAUCGUGAUUAUUGGAGAGGGGCAUAAAUUGUUGUUAGUUUCAAAAACUCAACGUAUUCAUGACGUACUGGUAAAAAAUGUCUUUCUGGACAUGCUUCAAUCAAAGGAAUGACAUCUUAGUACAUUUUUGGACAAUACUAAAUUUUGCAUAAAUUUAAAGAACCAUUUAAAAGAACAAGCUCCUCCAUUAAAAAUUCCGUUCUCAGUAUUAAUGCUUAAAAAGGCAACAUCAAUGACAGUUACUGCCUAAAAUUUGAAAGAGCUUGUCAGCCAGCUUUAUCAACGACUUGACCGCGCCUGCCAUGAUCGACAUUAGGGACCAUCCACGUUUACACAUUCCUCUUAAAGUGUUUAUGUAGUUUAUGGAUGGCCCCUUACGAAGAGACCGUCAGUUAACGCACUCAAAGUUGACACAAACGAAUGCCGUGCUCAACACUCAAUCAGUCGCACGACACGCUUUUCUCUUUCUUUCGUUUAUUCUCUCUUUCCAGCUUGUGUGGUGCUGCGUCGUGGCAGCAAUAAUUUGAAUGCAUUUUUUGGGAAGGUGAUUUCUGUCGUAUUCAAACUUACGACCUGUUGCGAUUGAAACAGAAUUCGUACACGAUUCCAAUUGAAUUCCGUUUAAGGUUUCGAAUUGAACUUACUGCUGACUGCGAUUCUUUGGAGGUGGCCAGCUUUUUAAAAAGAUUAGUAGCAUUUUAAACUAAAUUAGCUUUAUUUAGCACUGACCGGAAAUGCACUAAUAUGUCACAGUCUGUCGUUUGGAGUGUGUUUAAGAUUCCCCAUCUUUUGAACAUGACAAUAAAUUAAUAAAUAAUAAAACCGGCAAAUCUGAACUUUUUUUAAAUCCAAUAAGUAAAUGUAAACAUUGAGUCAAUGACCAUCAAAGUAUGCGAGUUACACUUAAUGUUAGAGUUUGCUUAUUGGACCUUUAAAAAUAUUAUUAUAACAAGAAACAUCUAUAAAACAAAUAAUUCAUUUUCUAGUUGAAAUUGUUGGAAGAUCGUAAUCUAUUUAUCAUUUCAUUGUAUUAUUUUUAGAAUUAAUCCGUCAAAUUGUAUUUUUCUGUAAUCUUGUUGAAUAAAAAAUAAAAGUGUCUUCAAAAAAUAAUUAAGAGGCCCAACAUGAUUUUUUUAAAAAGAUUUUGGAAAAGUUGUUUUAGUAUUCGGAAUGGCAAAAUUAAGUGGAAUAAAUUGAUAUCCCCUUUAUUUGACAUCCUAGGCAAAUGGUGUCUUUGGCAAAGUUGCAGAAGAGAAAAUUUUAUGAAAGUUUGUCGAAGGCGCCAAAUUUGUAGCUCUUAGUCUACUCGAGAUAUACGCCAUUUUUGCAAAAAUGGUCGAAAAAAGCACUUUUUUGGUGAUAACUCAAAAUGAUAGCAUUUUAGAGGCCUACUAUGUUGUGAAGAGUUGUAUUUGACAUAAAAUGUUUCUUAGUGAUUUUGAGCCUAUUUUCAUGUUGCUAUGUUUUCAAAAUGGCG